rnacentral:rRNA from 1 species
UACAGAGGUCUCAAGCGUUGAUCGGAUUCAUUGGGCGUAAAGGGUGCGUAGGCGGCGCGGUAAGUCGGGUGUGAAAUCUCGGAGCUUAACUCCGAAACUGCAUUCGAUACUGCCGUGCUUGAGGACUGGAGAGGAGACUGGAAUUUACGGCGUAGCGGUGAAAUGCGUAGAUAUCGUAAGGAAGACCAGUGGCGAAGGCGGGUCUCUGGACAGUUCCUGACGCUGAGGCACGAAGGUCAGGGGAGCAAACGGG